rnacentral:rRNA from 1 species
UCGCACCUACCGAUUGAAUGAUUCGGUGAAAAUUCUGGACUGUGGCUCGGAUGCCUUCGGGCAACUUUGCUGUGGGAAGUUAUUUAAACCUCAUCAUUUAGAGGAAGGUGAAGUCGUAACAAGGUUUCCGUAGGUGAACCUGCGGAAGGAUCAUUACCACACCCUUCAAAAGA